CCUACGGGGGGCAGCAGUGGGGAAUAUUGCACAAUGGGCGCAAGCCUGAUGCAGCCAUGCCGCGUGUGUGAAGAAGGCCUUCGGGUUGUAAAGCACUUUCAGCGGGGAGGAAGGCGGCGAGGUUAAUAACCUCAUCGAUUGACGUUACCCGCAGAAGAAGCACCGGCUAACUCCGUGCCAGCAGCCGCGGUAAUACGGAGGGUGCAAGCGUUAAUCGGAAUUACUGGGCGUAAAGCGCACGCAGGCGGUCUGUCAAGUCGGAUGUGAAAUCCCCGGGCUCAACCUGGGAACUGCAUUCGAAACUGGCAGGCUAGAGUCUUGUAGAGGGGGGUAGAAUUCCAGGUGUAGCGGUGAAAUGCGUAGAGAUCUGGAGGAAUACCGGUGGCGAAGGCGGCCCCCUGGACAAAGACUGACGCUCAGGUGCGAAAGCGUGGGGAGCAAACAGGAUUAGAUACCCGGGUAGUC
rnacentral:rRNA from 1 species